GCACAGUGUGGGGUGAUAGGAGUAUCUUUGUACGACUGAGGCCACAGGAGGCCUCUCUACAGGACCACGUCAAAGACAUUUUGGUCCCUAAGGCAAAGGACAAUAUGGCACACUCCAUUCCAUAUUCAGAAGCCAAUGGACCUGCACAGAGGUGAGGAAUCUCAGGCUUGAGGGCCAAAUGUGGCCCACUAAGCUCUCAAUCUGGUCCUGAGGAUGUUUCCCAUGUCACAGCACCUCCUCAGCCACAGUUCCUCUGAGUAAACUGUUGAAUUAAGAAUAGCAAAAUCACAGCUAAGAAGCUCAAAUCAUAUACAGUGGUACCUCGGAUUACAAACACUUCGGGUUACAAACUCCGCUAACCCAGAAGUAGUAUCUCGGGUUGAGAACUUUGCCCCAGGAUGAGAACGGAAAUCAUGCGGUGGCAGUGGGAGGCCCCAUUAGUGAAAGCGCGCCUCAGGUUAAGAACAGUUUUGGGUUAAGAACGGACCCCCAGAACGAAUUAAGUUCAUAACCCAAGGUACCACUGUAUAUAACUGACACCCUUCUUUGGACAUUGAACCAACACCCAGACUUUAACCUUCAAAAACUUUACUUGCAGAGACGUAGUUAUGGAUGAAUUAAAACAUAAUAUUUACAGUCACAUGCUUCUCCAAGCAUGGGCUUACUGUCUCUUCUUCUGAUUUCCAAACUACUGUAUUUUCCUCCCUUUUCAGAGCUCAGCACUCAGCCUUCUGUAUCUCAAUUAGACCAUGAGACAUUUACACUUUUACCUUCUCCUGCAGCUUUGCUUUCUUUCUUUCAAGCAGAAAAGCAUCCCAACACUCUAUUCAACUUAGCAGUGUUCACAGUGGAUUCUAAAACACAGUCAUCUUGCUUCCCAUAAAAUGGAGUCUCCCCUUCACUAGAUACCUCCCAUGUGACCAAUGUUAGCCAAUCACACGAGAACUGCUAGAGAACUCUCUAGAAUUCAGUUACUAACCAAUCAAAUUUAAAUGCAUACAAGCCUUUAUAAUUUCAGUGAAUUAAAUUGCAGUACGUAACAUAAACUACAUAAGCACACACAUUACCGGUGAGAAUAAAUGGACCACAGUCAGCCAGAACCUUGUUAGUUUUUAGAAGGCACAUUUCUGCAUCAUUCUAACUAUAAUGUUUAUCACAUCAGUAUUUCUGCUGCCUAACCCCGUCCAUGACAAGUUAUGGGUUGGAUGCUUUCUCUGGCUCCACUUUAUAGGAGGCAAAAUAAGAUCUUGCAAAUGAGCUUAUAAGAAAAGAGAGGAGCAUAGCCAUCUUUCCCAGAGGGGAUCUCUUUCAGGCUUCUCUUCAGUCCUCCUGCUGAGGUACGGGUCAGCUUCCAUUCCCCCAGCUUGCCUUUCCCCCUAUUGGCAUCCCAACUCUUGAAAGAAUCUUAAAACAUUCCACAGACGAGCGGAUAAGUAAAACUUGCCUGACUGCAACUUCUGACAAAGAGAAGAAGACGGUUCUUGAUGCUGAGACUCUGGAGAGGAAGGACUGAGAGGGCCCUCUUCACAAGAGUAACAGAGGAUGAAUUCUGUGGAGAUUAAGCCAAAGGGUUGGACAGAAUGCUGAAAACAAAGUAAUGUCUGCAAAAGAGGCUGUGAAUUUGUUUGAGCUGGGGAAGGGGGGACACUUUAAUUGAACCAAAGCUUCAAAGAAUGUAACAAAGUCGAGUAUGAAAUACGAAACCAGAGCAAGUUGUAGCUGCAUAAAUAGGUAUAAACGACACAGGGAUUUAAGGCGUCUUCAGUGGG